GAACGAACGCUGGCGGCAGGCCUAACACAUGCAAGUCGAGCGAGCAUUUCGGUGCUAGCGGCGGACGGGUGAGUAACGCGUGGGAACGUGCCCUUUUCUGCGGAAUAGUCCUGGGAAACUGGGGGUAAUACCGCAUACGCCCUUUUGGGGAAAGAUUUAUCGGAGAAGGAUCGGCCCGCGUUGGAUUAGGUAGUUGGUGGGGUAAUGGCCCACCAAGCCGACGAUCCAUAGCUGGUUUGAGAGGAUGAUCAGCCACACUGGGACUGAGACACGGCCCAGACUCCUACGGGAAGCAGCAGUGGGGAAUCUUAGACAAUGGGGGCAACCCUGAUCUAGCCAUGCCGCGUGAGUGAUGAAGGCCUUAGGGUUGUAAAGCUCUUUCAGCUGGGAAGAUAAUGACGGUACCAGCAGAAGAAGCCCCGGCUAACUCCGUG
rnacentral:rRNA from 1 species